rnacentral:rRNA from 1 species
AUUGAACGCUGGCGGCAUGCUUUACACAUGCAAGUCGAACGGUAACAGGCCUUCGGGUGCUGACGAGCGGCGAACGGGUGAGUAAUACAUCGGAACGUACCCAGAGGUGGGGGAUAACGCAGCGAAAGCUGUGCUAAUACCGCAUGUGAUCUGAGGAUGAAAGCGGGGGACCGAGCAGCAAUGUUUGGCCUCGCGCCUUUGGAGCGGCCGAUGUCGGAUUAGCUAGUUGGUGGGGUAAAGGCCUACCAAGGCGACGAUCCGUAGCUGGUCUGAGAGGACGACCAGCCACACUGGGACUGAGACACGGCCCAGACUCCUACGGGAGGCAGCAGUGGGGAAUUUUGGACAAUGGGCGCAAACCUGAUCCAGCAAUGCCGCGUGCGGGAAGAAGGCCUUCGGGUUGUAAACCGCUUUUGGCAGGAACGAAACGGUGUCCGCUAAUACCGGGCGCUAAUGACGGUACCUGCAGAAUAGGCACCGGCUAACUACGUG